rnacentral:rRNA from 1 species
GACGAAGGGGGCUAGCGUUGUUCGGAAUUACUGGGCGUAAAGCGCGUGUAGGCGGCCUGUUAAGUCGAACGUGAAAUCCCCGGGCUCAACCCGGGAACUGCGUCCGAUACUGGCAGGCUUGAAUCCGGGAGAGGGAUGCGGAAUUCCAGGUGUAGCGGUGAAAUGCGUAGAUAUCUGGAGGAACACCGGUGGCGAAGGCGGCAUCCUGGACCGGCAUUGACGCUGAGGCGCGAAAGCCAGGGGAGCAAACGGG